CGGGACGGGUGAGUAAUGUCCGGGAAACGUGCCUGAUGGAGGGGGAUAACUGCUGGAAACGGUAGCUAAUACCGCAUAACGUCGCAAGACCAAAGAGGGGGACCUUCGGGCCUCUUGCCAUCGGAUGUGCCCAGAUGGGAUUAGCUAGUAGGUGGGGUAACGGCUCACCUAGGCGACGAUCCCUAGCUGGUCUGAGAGGAUGGCCAGCCACACUGGAACUGAGACACGGUCCAG
rnacentral:rRNA from 1 species